UGACGGACACGCCAUGCCUUCAUAGGACCAGCUCCAGAGGAGUGUGGCAUUGAGCCGUCCUGAAGGGUUAGCUGUCACUCGUCGCCUUUCAGGUUAUGAUGUGGAUUUCAGAAGCUAUUUCUCUUUGCUUGGUGCUUUUUCUGCAGCUUGGGCAAGUUGACUUCAAGGGAACAAAAUCGACCAAGAUCUCUGCCCCCUCAGAGCUUAUAAUCUGGAAGGGGGAGAUGGACAACGGACACUAAAAUGAAUAAAUGUGGACCCUUCUCAAGAGGGCCCAGCCUGCCCUUCAAGAAGCUUUGGGCCUAGGAUCUCGCAAGAGGCUCUAACUUUCUGUAAGGCCAUUCAUCAGGCUGCUUGCUGCCAGACCAAGAGUGUUUCCAGCUAUAUAGAGAAUUGUGAAGUGCUCUGAAGGCUGCCAACAAAAUGUCAAGUCAGCCCACUGACAGAGGAAGGAAGAGAAGCCUUUGGAAAAGACUGUGUUGUUUCCCAUUAGCUUACGUUCCUGCUGAAUCUGAGCAGCUGACCUGAGGAAGGAGGUCGGAAAGGCUAAAGGAUGAAAUGCUGGAAAUACACCAUUUUCAGCAAAGGCAAUGAUUACAGAGUCAUCUGCUCUAUGAUGUUUCCAUAGCCUUGUCACAGUGGUAGAUAGAUAGACAGACAGACAGAUAGAAAGAUAGAUAGAUAAGGUAAAUUCUCUGUCUUUACCAUAUUUUUCCCAAGGAUCUUGACAGACAUAGGCUUCUGGUUGCUUCCUUCUCCGUGGGACGCGAAAGAGUUGAUGCCAGCUAUUCACCCACCCACACUAGAACCUGGCAUCUCUCUCUGUAAAACUAAUUUGAAACCAGCAUGUUUUCCUCACUUUCUAUCUUUAUUGCAAUUUAACUCAGGUAGGGCAACUCGUUGCAACAGCCCCAGCAGAAGCAACAGAGGACUCAUGACUCCUGCCCGUACUCCUUUAGGGGAUGGCGAAACUCAGGGCGGACCUUUCCUCUUGUGUGUGGAGAGAGGGGCUUCCCUUGUGUGUCCAAGGGAUCAAGGUGAGAGGAGUUUGAGGUGGUGUUGGACUUUUAAGCCCCUUUGGAAUGUGUAAGAGUUUCAUUUUUCUUGAUGUUGGGAUGUAAUCAUUGACAUGAGCAAAAUAACACGUCUGGAGAGACAGGACUGAGCCGCCUGCUGGGGCCAGAACAGUGCGACAGAUCACCCAGACUGUGUAGUUUGACAGUUUUAGCUUUGGGUCUUGUCAAGGACAUGGCUGCUUUUUUCUGGUCUGUGGAAGGGCUCCACGGAGGCAUCUGGGAUCCCAAAUCUGUCCCCCACUGGUCUGUUUCAGGGGCUGAAAUGUCAUUUAAAAUUGAAAACUUUUUAUUCUUCUUGUGAGACAUGCGUGCCCCAUUCAACUCAAGACAUAUUUUCAUUCUUUGGUGCAAGAACUCUCCUUCAUUUAUUUUAUUUCCUUUUUCCCCCAAGCCCACUCCAGUUCCCUUAUUCCAUAGAAGCCUAUUCAAGAAUAUUUUGUAUGCAGCAAUUCAAUCCACCUUCCACAUGUUUAUUCAGAUAAGUCUAUUCUUAAAAAUAUAUAAUGCAGUAUGUUUUAAUUUAUGUAAAUAGCUCUGUGCUAUAAACCUCAUUUUGUUGUUUACUUUUUCUACUCAAUAUGUUUUUUAGAUUUAUCCAUGUUGCUGUAUUAAAAUCAAAUCCAUUACCUCCUCCUCCCACAUAGAAUUCUAUCAUAGACAAAUCCCACAAUUAUUUAUCCAGAGGGACAACUAGAUUGCUUUUUUCUCUUUGCUAUCAUAAAGAGCACAGUAAUAAACAUCCUUGCAUGUUUCUCCUUGUCCUUGGACUUGUGUAAGUGUUUCUUCCAGAUAAGUACCAAGGUGUGGGGCUGCUUCUUGUCACUCAGACCUGCCAGAUUGCCCUCAAACGCAGCAACACCAGUUACUUCUCCCAGCCAGGCCCUAGAUAGUAAUUGUUUCAUUUUUGUCAAUAAUAUUUUGGUGUUUUAUCAUGGCAUCAACUCUUGUGUCCCACUGAAAGGGAGGCAACCAGCAGCCUGUGGCUGUCGAGAUCACUGGGUAAAACAUGGAGUUUUCUUAUUUUAAUGUGCAAUUCUCUGAUUACCUGCGAGAUUGAGAAUUUCUUCAUAAACUCAUCAGCAAUUUGGGAUUCCA